rnacentral:sRNA from 1 species
AAGAUAUUAAUAACAGGGACCGUAAUCAUUAUAAGUUAUAUAAUAAAAAUUACUUGGUAAUGAUCAUAUUUCAAUUUUUUACGAUU